rnacentral:lncRNA from 1 species
AGCACUUUGGGAGGCCAAGGUGGACGGAUCUCCUGAGGUCAGGAGUUCAAGACCAGCCUGACCAAUAUGGUGAAACCCCAUCUCUACAAAAAUACAAAAAUUAGUAGGGCAUGGUGGCAAGUGCCUGUAGUCCCAGCUACUCGGGAGGCUGAGACAGGAGAAUUGCUUGGACCCAGGAGGCGACGGUUGCAGUGAACUGAGAUCCUGCCACUGCACUCCAUCCUGGGUGACAGAGCGAGACUCCAUCUCAAAAAAAAAAAAAAAUUACCUCUUCCAUGUAGUACUAUCUGUAUUAAAUAAUAUUAGCUGGUAUGUUUUUCUGGCUGUAUAAUGUGGUUCAGAUUUCUGUAGAAAUUCCGGCUGUAUCUACAUUGCCUUAAAGUAAUGGGAUAUUUCUUUUGUUUUUUUCAGCUGGAGUUUUGCUCUUGUCGCCCAUGCUGGAGUGUGAUCGUGGCUCACUGCAAUCUCUGCCUCCCAGGUUCAAGCGAUUCUCCUAGCUCAGCCUCCUGAGCAGCUGGGAUGACAGGCACUUGCCACAACGCCUGGCUAAUUUUUCUAUGUUUAGUAGAGAUGGGGUUUCACCAUGUUGGCCAGGCUGGUCUUGAACUCCUGACUUCGUGAUCUGUCUGCCUCAGCCUUCCAAAGUGUUGGGAUUACAGGCGUGAGCCACCAUGGCCAGCCUUUCUUUUCUUUUCAAAGCCACCGUUGGUGAUGAAAUGUAAAAUAUGCACCAGUGAAUAUUACUUUGCUGAAUAUUGCCUAGUGAAUAUUAAGUAUUUAUUCUCACCUUUCAGACAUGAACUUAUGAAUUCAACACAUGAAGACUUACAACUUGAUAAACCAGCUUCAGGAGUAACUCCAGUUAGCCUCCAUUGUCUCCAAGCCGGCUUUCGUCCUCAUCCACAAUGCCUCCACACAAGCGCUGAACACCUGUCCAUGUAAAAAUAUCAAGAAAUGCUGAGGCCCAUGUCCCAGAACAACAGUCCUUUAGGUGGAUCACACAUUCUCCACUACACCAAGCUCUGCUCAGUAAGUUUUGCUUCUUUGCACUUACCUGCCCAGCCCCUGUUGGUGACCCGGUUUGCAACAUUUGCUCUGCGUGAUCCAGUGGAGCAGAGAACUAGAGUUUGAAACUAAAUCCUCAUUUACAUAUACAAUUUCCUUGUGCACCUAAAAGGAUAAUAGAUGGCUAGU